CCCCUCCGACACGCUGCCUGUCGUCUUGUUCGGUAAUGAGCCUGCUCCGUCUGUCGCUGCGGAGCGUGAUGGUCAACACCAUAUGUGUGUGUUCUCUUCCUCAAGGCCACGUCCAAACACGCAGAGAGAGUGUGCAGCCUUUUUUUUAAAAAGCGUUCUGUCCACAGGUAGCCAUUAGUUAUUGUUAAGGGCUGUUUUCAAGCAAUCACCACCAUCUGCUGUGCACAUCUUACCCUUUGUCGGGAGUUAUUCAGGCUCACCAGGCAGCCAUUUUGUGGCGGGAAGGAGAGCAGCCCGAAGCGCAGUGGGGAUCUUUAAUGCAGCACGGCUGUUUGAGUUUCCACGGAGAUAGCCGCCUUCCUCUGAGAUGAAAGAGACGGAUUAGGCGUGCUGCCCAGGUGGGGAGGCAUUCAUCUUUUCCGGCCCAAAUGCCAGCUGGAGAGCUGCCCUACAAGCGCCUGAGUAUAUCAAAGGGGUCCUUUCUGAAGCGCCUAGCACUGCGAAUAUGGAUGACAGGGAAAGAGCUUCUCAAACUAGUCCACAUGAGAAGAGCUCAGCAAGCAACAGAGAAAAGAUUUCCAGAGGUGCAUCCGAGCCGAUCUGGCAGAUGGAAGAAAGAUGACAAAACUAAAUGUGGAUCAUCCCACUGAAAGAUUUCUGACUUUGAAUGCAGAUUUUCAGCUUUGUUAAUCUCCACGGCUUGGACUGCGACUGUGGUUGGAGACCUUUGUGACUGUAUAGAAUGGAAAUAUACACCAGCCUGAACUAAAAACAGCAUGCUAAUCUGGCGCCGCAAACUAUAGCGCUCUCCAAAUGCAAGAGAUUGGAUGAGAUUGGCUAGUGCUGAUUGUGAUUCUGUCAGGCUUCAGAGUGAGUGAGUUUCAGACUUAUGAAUGUAGUAAUUACUGCUUUGAUAGCCGAAACUGCUCACAGAUGAACUAAUUAAAAAGAGGACAGAGAUGUGGCUUAUGUUCCUCAGGGCUGUGGAAGUCAGAUUGUGCUUAGUAUUUCGGUGUCGAAGAGUCAAUAUAAACUUUUUUCUUAUACUUGUUUGCUUCUGUUUAAAUUAAAAGGCAGCUUUGCGGGAAAGUCUCAAGACCCAAGAACCACAGCAGCAAUAAAAAAUGGGGGUCUGGAGUUUGUCUUUCUCAGUAUUCAAGCAUAAUGGUAUGACAUGAUCUGCAAAGAUUUAGAACAUACUUUGUAUGUUAACUGCUUUGACCCACUUGAGAACACUGACAGUGAAUUAGUAUUUAUUAGGUGUCACUACAGUGUU